rnacentral:rRNA from 1 species
UUGGCCACAUUGGGACUGAGACACGGCCCAAACUCCUACGGGAGGCAGCAGUAGGGAAUCUUCCACAAUGGACGCAAGUCUGAUGGAGCAACGCCGCGUGAGUGAUGAAGGGUUUCGGCUCGUAAAACUCUGUUGUUGGAGAAGAACGGGUGUCAGAGUAACUGUUGACAUCGUGACGGUAUCCAACCAGAAAGCCACGGCUAACUACGUGCCAGCAGCCGCGGUAAUACGUAGGCGGCAAGCGUUGUCCGGAUUUAUUGGGCGUAAAGCGAGCGCAGGCGGUUUUCUAGGUCUGAUGUGAAAGCCUUCGGCUUAACCGGAGAAGUGCAUCGGAAACCGGGAGACUUGAGUGCGGAAGAGGACAGUGGAACUCCAUGUGUAGCGGUGAAAUGCGUAGAUAUAUGGAAGAACACCAGUGGCGAAGGCGGCUGUCUGGUCUGCAACUGACGCUGAGGCUCGAAAGCAUGGGUAGCGAACAGGAUUAGAUACCCUGGUAGUCCAUGCCGUAAACGAUGAGUGCUAAGUGUUGGAGGGUUUCCGCCCUUCAGUGCUGCAGCUAACGCAUUAAGCACUCCGCCUGGGGAGUACGACCGCAAGGUUGAAACUCAAAGGAAUUGACGGGGGCCCGCACAAGCGGUGGAGCAUGUGGUUUAAUUCGAUGCUACGCGAAGAACCUUACCAGGUCUUGACAUCUUCUGCUAACCUAAGAGAUUAGGCGUUCCCUUCGGGGACGGAAUGACAGGUGGUGCAUGGUUGUCGUCAGCUCGUGUCGUGAGAUGUUGGGUUAAGUCCCGCAACGAGCGCAACCCUUAUUGUCAGUUGCCAGCAUUUAGUUGGGCACUCUGGCGAGACUGCCGGGAACAAAACCGGAGGAAGGUGGGGGAUGACGUCAAAUCAUCAUGCCCCUUAUGACCUGGGCUACACACGUGCUACAAUGGACGGUACAACGAGUCGCGAAACCGCGAGGUCAAGCUAAUCUCUGAAAGCCGUUCUCAAGUUCGGAUUGCAGGCUGCACUCGCCUGCAUGAAGUUGGAAU